rnacentral:lncRNA from 1 species
GCGAGGUUCUCCUCCUGUCCCUAACAGGGCUGUGGGGGUGCAUAUGGGCGUUGCAGGGCCUCUCCCCCCAUCCGGUCUAAAUGGAACCGGGCCUUCAACUUUGUCGAGAUAAGGUUUUCCUUUUGUUUUUGAUACAAUUUGUUUGAAUUGUCCAAAGACAUAUAGGUAUGCAAUUUUCAAUUAAAACGAAGUUACUGGU